rnacentral:rRNA from 1 species
AGAGUUUGAUCAUGGCUCAGAUUGAACGCUGGCGGUAUGCUUAACACAUGCAAGUCGAACGGUAACAUCGGAGCUUGCUCCGGAUGACGAGUGGCGGACGGGUGAGUAAUGCAUAGGAAUCUGCCUGGUAGUGGGGGACAACAUGUGGAAACGCAUGCUAAUACCGCAUAAGCCCUACGGGGGAAAGGGGGGGAUCUUCGGACCUCCCGCUAUCAGAUGAGCCUAUGUCAGAUUAGCUUGUUGGUGAGGUAACGGCUCACCAAGGCGACGAUCUGUAGCUGGUCUGAGAGGAUGAUCAGCCACACUGGGACUGAGACACGGCCCAGACUCCUACGGGAGGCAGCAGUGGGGAAUAUUGGACAAUGGGCGAAAGCCUGAUCCAGCAAUACCGCGUGUGUGAAGAAGGCCCGAGGGUUGUAAAGCACUUUCAAUUGGGAGGAACACCUGUCCAGAUAAUAUCGGGCAGACNGAC